UACGUAGGUGGCAAGCGUUGUCCGGAAUUACUGGGCGUAAAGCGUGCGCAGGCGGUUUGCUAAGACCGAUGUGAAAUCCCCGGGCUUAACCUGGGAACUGCAUUGGUGACUGGCAGGCUAGAGUAUGGCAGAGGGGGGUAGAAUUCCACGUGUAGCAGUGAAAUGCGUAGAGAUGUGGAGGAAUACCGAUGGCGAAGGCAGCCCCCUGGGCCAAUACUGACGCUCAUGCACGAAAGCGUGGGGAGCAAACAGG
rnacentral:rRNA from 1 species